AGUGGACGCUGGCGGUAGGCCUAACACAUGCAAGUCGAACGGCAGCACAGUAAGAGCUUGCUCUUACGGGUGGCGAGUGGCGGACGGGUGAGGAAUACAUCGGAAUCUACUUUUUCGUGGGGGAUAACGUAGGGAAACUUACGCUAAUACCGCAUACGACCUACGGGUGAAAGCAGGGGAUCUUCGGACCUUGCGCGAUUGAAUGAGCCGAUGUCGGAUUAGCUAGUUGGCGGGGUAAAGGCCCACCAAGGCGACGAUCCGUAGCUGGUCUGAGAGGAUGAUCAGCCACACUGGAACUGGGACACGGUCCAGACUCCUACGGGAGGCAGCAGUGGGGAAUAUUGGACAAUGGGCGCAAGCCUGAUCCAGCCAUACCGCGUGGGUGAAGAAGGCCUUCGGGUUGUAAAGCCGUUUUGUUGGGAAAGAAAAGCAGCAGGUUAAUACCCCGCUGUUCUGACGGUACCCAAAGAAUAAGCACCGGCUAACUUCGUG
rnacentral:rRNA from 1 species